ensembl:lincRNA
GUUGUAUGAGGCAUCUGCUAAGUGACUGAGGCAAGAAUUUAACCCAGGACUGCUGCAUUCUGAAGCCCGCUCUUGACCUCUGUGCUAUGUUGUUCUUGCCUGUCAUUGUAUUCCCUGAAGCCCACUCUUGACCUCUGUGCUAUGUUGUUCUUGCCUGCCAUUGUAUUCCCCGUCCCCUGACCAGCCAGAGGGCAGAGAAAAGAUGACCAUGGCUCAGUGUAGGGUCCUCAUCUGCCCCUGAGACCUGGGGAUCUUUGCUGCAGUGUUCAGUGACUGCCUGGGUUGAAGGCUGGCCUGGGAGGAUGGGCAGUAUUGAGGGCCAUUGCUUCAGGGGUUGUUGGGCCAGCACUACUGCUCAGCUCUGCACACACUCGGACAGCUGUCUGCAGAGCAUUCAAGAGCCUCCAUCCCUGGCAGUGAGGCUAAAACUGCAUGUACCCAUCUCCAGCAAAUGCAGGUGGUGAGUAAGGACAGGAACGGAUUGGAGCUCAGCAUUCCAAACUAGCCUGCUAGGCUGCUUGGGGACCUCAUUAGCUGUGUUUCCAGCACAUGUUGAAUUCUGUGAACAGCAGGUGCUCACAGCUAGCCAUGGGGAGACAACACGGCCACCUCCUCCUGUGGGGUUUGAACGGGGAGGCACUGGCCUCAGGGCUCCUUGCUGCUGACAUCAGUUGUGCCCUCGUAGGAGACGUCCUGGUCCUGCCUGCCUCAGAGGCUUCCAUCUGCGGAUUUCCUGAGGUCGUCCCCUUACUCCUCUGCUGCAGUCUCUCUCAACAUUUCAACUGUCUGCUCCAGAAAGUUACUCUGUCACUAAGUAAAAUAAAUACAAACAAAAUAAGCAAUAAUCUACCCCCUUCCUUUCUCCUCUGGUCCCCUCUCUGUCUGCCUGUCACCCCCUCCUCAAUGAGAACGUGGAUCCCUCGUGGCAUUUCUCUGCAGGGAUGGCCCAGGCUUUCCCAGCCCAUGCACUCUCAGCCAGAUCAUUUGCCUGCGGUCCCAUGGCCGUCUCCAAAAUGUGCUCUCCUCCAAAGACUAGUUUUGCUGAUUGUCUUUGUUGCAAACUGUUUUUCUCCACACUACGC